CAUCAAAGUUUUGCUCGCAUCAAAUUAAAUUUCUUUUCGUUACCAAUUUAGCUUCAUUAUAUAAUAUUUUGCUCAGUGAAUUGAUCAAGUUUGGUGCACGAGGGUCAUGCUCCUAGGUUUUGUACUAAUUGAAGAAGUAGCAAAUGUAGUUCGUGGUGGUGGUUUAAGUCAUGUCUGAUGAAAUUGAUGCUUAUAUAGAGGGGUUCUUUGUGCUUUCGAAAGAAUUCUACAGGAAAAUCGACUGCAUUUGUUGUUCUUGGGUACAUAAUGAAAGAUGGGAAGGCAUAUUUUCCCCCACAUGACAGUAUCUAUACAUAUUGCAGUUGAAAUGGAAAUAAUUGAAAUACAAGGGUCCAUGUACUUGGCACAUGAUAUACAUAUACGAGAUGGACUUAAAAACUAACAAAGGUCUUCUUUUGGUGGCAGAUAAUUUUGGUUUUCUUGUGAUUCUCUUUAUGAAAUGGGUGGUACCUCUAAAGAAAUAGAUGAUCUGUUGACUUAUGGCAGUCGGGCAUUACAAUCUUUUUGCAUGAAAUCGACAUCUGAGCAGUGAUAAUUUUGUUUUGAUCGCUUCUCUAUUGCAAGAUUUAGAUGGCUACUAUCCUUUGCAAUUGAUCAAGAAUGGUGAGCUAUUCUAAGGAAGCUUCUGAACAAUAUAUCUGU